rnacentral:rRNA from 2 species
UGCAGUCGAACGCACUCUCGUUAGAUUGAAGAAGCUUGCUUCUGAUUGAUAACAUUUGAGUGAGUGGCGGACGGGUGAGUAACACGUGGGUAACCUGCCCUAAAGUGGGGGAUAACAUUUGGAAACAGAUGCUAAUACCGCAUAAAACCUAGCACCGCAUGGUGCAAGGUUGAAAGAUGGUUUCGGCUAUCACUUUAGGAUGGACCCGCGGUGCAUUAGUUAGUUGGUGAGGUAAAGGCUCACCAAGACCGUGAUGCAUAGCCGACCUGAGAGGGUAAUCGGCCACACUGGGACUGAGACACGGCCCAGACUCCUACGGGAGGCAGCAGUAGGGAAUCUUCCACAAUGGACGAAAGUCUGAUGGAGCAACGCCGCGUGAGUGAAGAAGGUUUUCGGAUCGUAAAACUCUGUUGUUGGAGAAGAACGUAUUUGAUAGUAACUGAUCAGGUAGUGACGGUAUCCAACCAGAAAGCCACGGCUAACUACGUGCCAGCAGCCGCGGUAAUACGUAGGUGGCAAGCGUUGUCCGGAUUUAUUGGGCGUAAAGCGAGCGCAGGCGGUUUCUUAAGUCUGAUGUGAAAGCCUUCGGCUCAACCGAAGAAGUGCAUCGGAAACUGGGAAACUUGAGUGCAGAAGAGGACAGUGGAACUCCAUGUGUAGCGGUGAAAUGCGUAGAUAUAUGGAAGAACACCAGUGGCGAAGGCGGCUGUCUGGUCUGUAACUGACGCUGAGGCUCGAAAGCAUGGGUAGCAAACAGGAUUAGAUACCCUGGUAGUCCAUGCCGUAAACGAUGAGUGCUAGGUGUUGGAGGGUUUCCGCCCUUCAGUGCCGCAGCUAACGCAUUAAGCACUCCGCCUGGGGAGUACGACCGCAAGGUUGAAACUCAAAGGAAUUGACGGGGGCCCGCACCACCGGUGGAGCAUGUGGUUUAAUUCUAAUCAACGCGAAGAACCUUACCAGGUCUUGACGUCCUUUGACCACUCUAGAGAUAGAGCUUUCCCUUCGGGGACAAAGUGACAAGUAGUUGCAUGGUUGUCGUCAGCUCGUGUCCUGGAAAGUUGGG